rnacentral:rRNA from 1 species
UACGUAGGGAGCAAGCGUUGUUCGGAUUUACUGGGCGUAAAGGGCGCGUAGGCGGCGCGGUAAGUCACUUGUGAAAUCUCUGAGCUUAACUCAGAACGGCCAAGUGAUACUGCAGUGCUAGAGUGCAGAAGGGGCAAUCGGAAUUCUUGGUGUAGCGGUGAAAUGCGUAGAUAUCAAGAGGAACACCUGAGGUGAAGACGGGUUGCUGGGCUGACACUGACGCUGAGGCGCGAAAGCCAGGGGAGCAAACGGGAUUAGAAACCCCCGUAGUCC